rnacentral:rRNA from 1 species
UACGUAGGGGGCAAGCGUUGUCCGGAUUCAUUGGGCGUAAAGAGCGUGUAGGCGGCCAGGUAGGUCGGUUGUGAAAACUGGAGGCUCAACCUUCAGACGUCGACCGAAACCAUCUGGCUAGAGUCCGGGAGAGGAGAGUGGAAUUCCUGGUGUAGCGGUGAAAUGCGCAGAUAUCAGGAAGAACACCCGUGGCGAAAGCGGCUCUCUGGAACAUUUCUGACGCUGAGGCUCGAAAGCGUGGGGAGCAAACAGG